rnacentral:ncRNA from 2 species
CUCUUAUCACGAGAGGUGGAGGGACUGGCCCUUUGAAGCCCGGCAACCAUCAAACUAUGUUUGAAAGGUGCCAAAUCCUGCUAAGCAUAGCUUAGACAGAUGAGAG